CUGGGACCUGGGGCACGGCCUGGGGUGCCCCCAGGGCUGUUGGCUCCAGGCUGCACCUGCUUCCUCCAGUUGGCCCAGUGUCUGGCCUGGGAACUGGCUGGCAUCAAGCCCCCUGCAGAGCAGCAGCCAUGGCUCCUCAGCCCCUGCAGGACGGAAGGGGCCCCAGGGCCAGGGUGAGCCAGCCGGCGCAUUCACCACGUCACGCCCAACCGCAGGACCCCCAGCCUGCUGUCCUCUCCUGGGACCCGGCUGCCUCCCUCCCCAGGUGCCUGCUGCACUCCACAUGGCACUUCCCACCCAGACUUGUUCCCUUGCUCUCUGUAAACACACCUCCCCUGCCAGACCCUGCCAGGCUGGGCUGUGUCCCUAGUGAGGAGGCAGAGGGGACCCAGACAUCACUCCUCUCAGGGCCGGCCUAGAGUGGGUGUGAGGCCAGGACAGGUGCUGUCCUAGGCGCUGGGGACUCCAGAUGGAGAGGACAGAGUCCCUCAUGGAGCUUGUGGCCUGAGGCAAAUGCAGAGCGGUGUGGCCAUGCGCCUUAUUUGGAAGGAGAGGUGCUGCGGCCGUAGUUAAGGUCAUGGAGCCCAGGAGACAAGGAUGGCUGGCAGCCCGCCGCCGCCGUGGAAGUUGGGAGAGGCGUGGCAGGACGCUUCCUCCCUGCCCGCAGAAGGAACCCGCCCCGCCAACAGACGCCCUGAUUCAGGCGUCAACUCAACACUCAACCUCUGGCCUCCGGAACAAACUGCCAGAGAACAAGUCUCUGUCGCCUGAAGCCGCAGC
rnacentral:lncRNA from 1 species